AUGAAUGCGCCAAGUCCUCAACGAGACCCGUUUUUCGUCAAAUUCGGCUACGCGGCUAUGACCUCAGAUUUGGACGCAAGCGGCAAGUACCUCACCGGCAAGACCACACGGACGCUCGGACAACUACAUACCGAAACACCAAGUCCCUCUUCGAACAUGUACGACUACCGUCGACUUCGGAUCAGUCAAGUGCCACAACGACUGUGUACAACUAUCAGCGACCCUGAAUGA
rnacentral:rRNA from 1 species